GUCAAAUAAAAUUUUAGAAAUAAAAUAUUAAGUAUGUAGAAAUAGUUGAUUAAGAGCGUGCCAGCGGUUGCGGUUAAACGAUAAAUUGGCCCUUAAGUAGGUGAUACUAGAUUUAGGUGAAGUAUUUAGGGGUGAAAUUUGAUGAUAUUUUUAUUAUAAAUGUUUGUGAUUCAGUAGGGUUGAAUUGGAUUAGAAACCCAAGUAAUUCUGGUAUAGUUAGCACAGGAGGGGUUAAUUAAAGAGUUUGGCGGUACCAUUUAGUAGUAGGGGGACUUGUACAUUAAAGGGAUAGUAAACCUGUCUGUUUGCUUAUUUUGUUGCUUCUUGUACGAUUAUUCAGGUACUUGUAGUGCCUAUAGUAAAUAAAUGUAGGGGUUAUAAAUGAGGUGGAGUGAGUCUUGGUUUUAAAGGGGUAACCAGAAGGUUGUUCUAUAAAGAAUUUACAAGUAAAUUAUAUAAAGGUUGAAUAAAUCAGUGGUAAGUACAUAUUGCCCGUCAACCCCCCUCAGGGGGGUAAGUCGUAACAUAGUGAGCCAACUGGAAGGUGGGCUUU
rnacentral:rRNA from 1 species